CAAGCUGAGUGGGGAGGAGAGAGGGACAGAGAGCCUGCUUGCUUUAAAGGAGCCAACCGGACAGGAGCCGCUUACACUUGUGUAAGCGGCUCCUCUCCUCUCCCGCUUUGCUCCUUUAAAGAAGCAGGCUCUCUGUCCCUCUCUCCUCCCCACUCAGCG
rnacentral:miRNA from 1 species